UCUCCUUUGGCUGUCAGAAUCGCCCACACCCCUUCAACUUCAGCGUGCACUGCUGCCUCUCUUCUUUGUCUACUUUCUCUCUCCUCUUUUGAUCGACGCAACACAAAAGAAAGAAAGAAAGACACCACAGAUUCAAAAAGCAAAUUUUGCUCUUUUUCGCAUCAGAAAAACCAUUUUUAUGCUUCGGCCACUGUUUCUGAAGCAACUUGAUUCAACCUCUUUGGUUCACUACUCUUUCUUCUCACUCAUCUGUACCAACUGAUUCUUCCAGUGCUAUGAUGAAUUAACUUCAUGCCCUGUUAAGAGUGAGUAAUUAACUAACUGAGCAUGGAUAAAGUAUCCCCUGACUGUCCAUACCCAGGAUGUUUCUUCUGUGUCAUGAAAGAAGCGAACCCAAGUAAGCGCAGAGCAAGUGUAUUAAAAUUCUUCCGCGAACUUCCUUCGCAGGACGAUGAUGGUCAGGUUCUUCCUAUCAGUGGCCUUUGGAACACUGCCAUGGCGCAUCCCAAUGAUCCCGAGUUCAUUGAGUUGGGAAUAUUUGAAUGCAUGGCAGCACUAAUUUGGAAGGGUUUAAAGAAUCGUCGCUGGCUUUCUCAUGACCAAAAUAUAUAUAUUCCUUAUUAUGCUGCACAUAUAAUUGGAUCCUACACAAUGAACAUUGAAGAAUUUGCUGAAAAUGCUGUGCAUGCUGGUGUGAUCCCACCCCUAAUUGAACUGCUGAGAGGUAGGUUAACUUGGGUUGAACAGAGAGUGGCUGUACGAGCUCUAGGCCAUUUGGCUACUUAUGCCAGCACUUUUCCUGCUCUAUCAAGUCACGAGGAGAUCCUUGAGCUUUCCAUUCAACUAGCGAUGAGUUCGCUUGAAAUUGUUUACUCUCAUUUUUAUCAGUAUGUUGACAGAAGGCUAAGUUAUCAUUGUGACCUACUAACACGUGGCAUGGGUGGUGUUGAAAUGGAGUCCAGGAAGGCAGAGGAAUGGGCGAGUCAAUUGCAGUGCUGGUCCCUUCAACUUAUUAAUUGCUUUGCAUUUAAAACCGAGUUUCUUUCUAUUAUUUGCAAACCAGAAUUUUUAAUAAAACUACCAGGCAUGUGGGGCGGACUUGUCAAUGAAAACUCACCAGCUGGUAUUGGUUUACUACGGACAAUUUGUCAUCAUAGACAUGGUAGGGGACCUGUGGCUAGCUGUCCUGGUAUUAUUGAAGCAUUGUGUAAUGUCGCGCGCUCAUCAGACGACUGGCAGUAUAUGGCUAUUGACUGUCUUCUUUGGUUGCUCCAAGAUCCAAGUACUUGUCAUAAGGUGAUUGAUAAGGCAGUACCUGCAAUUGUGGAUCUUGCUGAAAUCUCGGCUCUUGGAGAUCACAAAAGGCUUGGGGAUUCCAUUGUGAAUGUUCUUCAGGAAUGUAUCCAAUCACAAGGGAUAGGACGUAACUCACUUAGCAAUCACACUAAAGAACAGAUUGAGGAAAUAAUAAAUUCUCGACAGAGAUUAAAAUGGGAAAAGAAUAUGCCGAAAGAGGAUCUCCAUAUCAAACAGGCAGCAGCACUAGUGGUAAAACUUGAAGGAAAUUCACUGUUCUCAUCAGGAAAUAUAUCUGGUGCAGCAUCAAAGUACUCAGAAGCAUUGGCAUUGUGUCCAGUGCGAUCAAGGAAAGAGAGGGUAGUGCUGUUCAGUAAUCGAGCUCAGUGUCAUCUUUUGUUGCAACAACCCUUGGAGGCCAUAAGUGAUGCUACGCGCGCACUUUGUCUUCAUAACCCCGUUAACCGUCAUGCCAAAAGCCUUUGGAGAAGAGCUCAGGCUUAUGACAUGCUUGGGUUAGCUAAAGAGAGCUUAUUAGAUGCUAUUCUUUUCAUAAACGAGUGCUCUCAGUCAACCGAUCCUGAUCUCUCCUUGAGGCAAAAUAAGGUUCCUGAUUAUGCUGAACGUUUAGUCAAGAAGCAGAUGCGUGCAGCUUGGUUAUUCAGAGAAGCGGCUAUUAAACAUGGGGGUGUCCACUGUGAGGGUGAUGCUGGUGGCAUUUACGGCCAAGAGACUGAUGAUUCUGAAUGGGAGACAGCAAGUGAAAGUGAUAUAGGAAAUAAUGAAAGGGAUGAAAUUGGUGAUGAUGAUUGUGAAUGGACGAAUGAGGAUGAAAGGAAAGACAAGUACAAUAAACCAUCUUCCACAAAAGCUUUACACCCAGAACAAUAUCACUUUUGAGUUUAUCUAAUGGUGAGAAAACAAGAGAACUAUGAGCUAGAUGUGUCCUGUCUCCAGGAGGGAAUGGGACUGUAGUAUUGCAGAAAGUGCCAAUUUUAUUGCCAAUGGGAUGGUAACUAUAUGUAACAACGCCACAUACAAUUCAACUUCACAGCAACAAAUUUACAAGAGCAGACACAGAAGAUCACCAGAUUGUUGCACAUAUUCUUACUUCUAUAUCUCGAAGUAGGCACUUUUAAAUAAUUAAAGAUACCGUUGGAGACAUGAAGCAUGGAUACAAUAUGCAGCUAACGGAAGAUGAACCAUAAGUCUUGGAUGAUCAGGGUCAUCUAAUAUGCAAGUAUUUACCGUUGUGGAAUUUGAAUUGUGAAUGACACAGCUGUGUGGGUUAUGCACCUAUUUUAGCCUCUUUAGGUUGCUCAUUGUAAGCAUGUUGGAAGAGGAAACAAGUCCUUUGGUCUUUGUCUUUAGAUGUAAAACCUGUGAUAUAGAUAUCUCAUUUUGUCCCCCUAUUUUUCAACUUAAAAUCCAACUCUGGAAAGAACAAAGAUACCGAGUCUAGAGUGUGUAAUUUUCCUUCUUCUUUUCUUUCUUUUUUCUUUUUUCUUUUUGAGUUAUUCAGAAGGCUUGUGUAUAUAAACCCUUGAGGGUUUUCUGAUUGAAGCAUAUAAUAUCCAUAUUUGAUUGUUUUUCCUUUUA